rnacentral:rRNA from 1 species
GACGAACGCUGGCGGCGUGCUUAACACAUGCAAGUCGAACGGAAAGGCCCUGCUUUUGUGGGGUGCUCGAGUGGCGAACGGGUGAGUAACACGUGAGUAACCUGCCCUUGACUUUGGGAUAACUUCAGGAAACUGGGGCUAAUACCGGAUAGGAGCUCCUGCUGCAUGGUGGGGGUUGGAAAGUUUCGGCGGUUGGGGAUGGACUCGCGGCUUAUCAGCUUGUUGGUGGGGUAGUGGCUUACCAAGGCUUUGACGGGUAGCCGGCCUGAGAGGGUGACCGGCCACAUUGGGCCUGAGAUACGGCCCAGACUCCUACGGGAGGCAGCAGUGGGGAAUAUUGCACAGUGGGCGGAAGCCUGAUGCAGCAACGCCGCGUGCGGGAUGACGGCCUUCGGGUUGUAAACCGCUUUCGCCUGUGACGAAGCGUGAGUGACGGUAAUGGGUAAAGAAGCACCGGCUAACUACGUG